AGCCUGAUGCAGCCAUGCCGCGUGUGUGAAGAAGGCCUUCGGGUUGUAAAGCACUUCAGCAGUGAGGAAGGCGGGUACGUUAAUAGCGUUUCGUUUGACGUUAGCUGCAGAAGAAGCACCGGCUAACUCCGUGCCAGCAGCCGCGGUAAUACGGAGGGUGCGAGCGUUAAUCGGAAUUACUGGGCGUAAAGCGCAUGCAGGUGGUUCGUUAAGUCAGAUGUGAAAGCCCGGGGCUCAACCUCGGAACUGCAUUUGAAACUGGCGGACUAGAGUACUGUAGAGGGGGGUAGAAUUUCAGGUGUAGCGGUGAAAUGCGUAGAGAUCUGAAGGAAUACCGGUGGCGAAGGCGGCCCCCUGGACAGAUACUGACACUCAGAUGCGAAAGCGUGGGGAGCAAACAGGAUUAGAUACCCUGGUAGUCCACGCCGUAAACGAUGUCUACUUGGAGUUGUGGCCUUGAGCCGUGGCUUUCGGAGCUAACGCGUUAAGUAGACCGCCUGGG
rnacentral:rRNA from 1 species